UUGAGAAGAGUGGAGGCUAUCCGAAAGACAGGUGGUGCAUGGUUGUCGUCAGCUCGUGUCGUGAGAUGUUGGGUUAAGUCCCGCAACGAGCGCAACCCUUGUCUUUAGUUACCAUCAUUAAGUUGGGGACUCUAGAGAGACUGCCGGUGACAAACCGGAGGAAGGUGGGGAUGACGUCAAAUCAGCAUGCCCCUUAUGGCUUGGGCGACACACGUAAUACAAUGGCGUAUACAAAGGGAAGCAAACCUGCGAAGGAGAGCGAAUCUCAGAAAGUACGUCUCAGUUCGGAUUAGAGUCUGCAACUCGACUCUAUGAAGUCGGAAUCGCUAGUAAUCGUGGAUCAGCAUGCCACGGUGAAUACGUUCCCGGGUCUUGUACACACCGA
rnacentral:rRNA from 1 species